rnacentral:rRNA from 1 species
ACCUUACCAGGACUUGACAUCUUCUGCCAAUCUAAGAGAUUAGACGUUCCCUUCGGGGACAGAAUGACAGGUGGUGCAUGGUUGUCGUCAGCUCGUGUCGUGAGAUGUUGGGUUAAGUCCCGCAACGAGCGCAACCCUUGUCUUUAGUUGCCAGCAUUAAGUUGGGCACUCUAGAGAGACUGCCGGUGAUAAACCGGAGGAAGGUGGGGAUGACGUCAAAUCAUCAUGCCCCUUAUGUCCUGGGCUACACACGUGCUACAAUGGGCGAUACAACGAGUUGCGAAACCGCGAGGUCAAGCUAAUCUCUUAAAGUCGUUCUCAGUUCGGAUUGCAGUCUGCAACUCGACUGCAUGAAGUUGGAAUCGCUAGUAAUCGUGGAUCAGCAUGCCACGGUGAAUACGUUCCCGGGUCUUGCACACACCGCCCGU